CUGGGCCCUGCCACCCGACACCGCACCCUGGACCGAGGAGGUGCCACCGGGAGUGAAACCGUUUCUGGUGCCCGCCUACCGACGGGUUUGGCAGAGGAGGGCCGGCCGAUACUCGGCAUGAACCUGUGAAAGCAGCCCGGCGUCUGCCCGGCACGGCCGAGGGCCUGCAGACAUGUGCACGGUUUCUGCAUUGCUAAUAAGGACCUCUAAGGAACCUAGUGAUCUAAACCUCCUGCAAGCCAGACCCACAAGAUAUACAAGCCCAAAUUGAUGAGAAUAUCAUGCUGUCAGCAACAUGGGGUUUGAAAAAAGCUGAGCAAUGACUCCAUUCCUCAUGACUCUCCAGGACGUUCUCCGGUGAUCUUCACACUGACACCAGCUGCUUCUCCACCUCCUGUUAUUUACUGCAGGGUGUUCUGCUUGGAGGAACGGUCUCCUUUCUACUUUAUUCCAAUAUAGUGGUCAUUUUUAUAUCGCAGUGGUCCCCAAAGCAUUUUACAGAGGAAUCUAAAUCCAUCUGUUAUGAGAAAAACACAGACUUUCAAGGAACUGAAAUGAGAAAAUCCUCUGGCUGAAAUAAUUUAUACUUUAUUUCACAAAGUCUCUCGGUAGCAGAGAACCUAGCUGAGUGGGAAAUAGUGGUGAAAGUCACGGGGAAAAUGACCCAAAGAUUAUGUUUUGUUUUUGCUCUCUUGGUACGCUCUCAACCCAUUUAGAAAGCAGUGAUAUUCAAGACUGGGUAGUCUUUUGCUUACAGCCAUACAAAUCAACAUUGAAAUGUGUCCUUAAAAAAAUAAAAUGAAAGCCCAACUCUUAAUUACUUGAAUCAUGGUGUAAAACUUUGUUAUAACCAGCAGGCCAAGGGACUGUUCAAAGAAGAGAUAAUGAACUGGACUGAAGGAGAGAUACGGGGUAUUAAUCUAAGUUACAUAUUGUUUCCUUUCUCAAAAUUCUUUUUGGCAAAGAUUAAAUUGCACCAAAUAUCUAUCAGUCUUGUGAUGACAAGACUAGCAAACUUGUUGCAUUAAACAAUCCCUUCCUUUACAACUGUCCAAACAGGAUUUUCCCAUUUAGUAGUGUAUCAGUUCAGAGUUAUGAUUAUGCUGUAAUUUUGGAGAUCCCUUGUAUCAAAUAUUAAUAUUUGUAUAGUUAUUAAAGUAUUUGGUGAUUUGUACAGAAACUCUAAAAUUAAAUAUAGUAUGUCAUUUAUAAUGUUAGGAAAGACUAAAACUGUAAAUGAAAAAUUAUUUUCUAACCAUUAGUUUCUGCUGGAACAACUUGUAAGAUGACUUACAUUUUUAAGUGGUACAUAUAAUCAUAAAAUGCUUUUUUAAGUGCAACACUUAAGCAAAAUCUUUUACAUUACAUAAUGCAGUAGUUUUCAGACUGCAUUUAUCCAAGAACUCUUUUCCAAAUAAAAUACUAAGUAGGAGGCAAAUAAAUAAAGCAUAAAAACAAAGGUACUGGGGACAGUGGAGGAACAGAUGUUAGUCCUUUAACCCUCCACAGGGCCACGCGAGCACCUUUGAGGAAUGCUGGAUUCUAGGAAGUGUGGAAGCCAGUGCACUAUUGUAAGACAUAUUAAAAAAUAAAUAAAAGGCACUGUUUCGAUGACACCCCUCUUCCUGGCAACUGCGUGUAUGUAUGUAUAUGUUUCUGAAAUAUUCAAUUACUAUCUGGUUCCUAUCUCUGUCAUUCAUACUCUCAAGCUGCAACUUUUGUGGCAUUUUAUGAUAGUACAAAUGGAUUCUGUGUCUAUGAAUUUCAAAUUCUAAGUUUUUAAAAAUCCUAACAGUACAGAAAAGGUCAGAGAGCAUGUUACGCCAAAAUGUAUGUGACCUGGAUGAAAUUACUUGCAUAAAUUAGAAUAACAGCAACAUCUCAAUAAAUGACUGUCAGAUCAUGA